rnacentral:rRNA from 1 species
AGAGUUUGAUCCUGGCUCAGAACGAACGCUGGCGGCAGGCUUAACACAUGCAAGUCGAACGCUCGUAGCAAUACGGGAGUGGCAGACGGGUGAGUAACGCGUGGGAACAUACCCUCCGGUUCGGAAUAGCUCAGGGAAACUUGGAUUAAUACCGGAUACGGCUGAGAGGCGAAAGAUUUAUCGCCGGAGGAUUGGCCCGCGUUCGAUUAGCUAGUUGGUGAGGUAAUGGCUCACCAAGGCGAUGAUCGAUAGCUGGUCUGAGAGGAUGAUCAGCCACAUUGGGACUGAGACACGGCCCAAACUCCUACGGGAGGCAGCAGUGGGGAAUAUUGGACAAUGGGCGCAAGCCUGAUCCAGCCAUGCCGCGUGAGUGAUGACGGCCUUAGGGUUGUAAAGCUCUUUCGCUCGGGACGAUAAUGACGGUACCGAGAUAAGAAGCCCCGGCUAACUUCGUGCCAGCAGCCGCGGUAAUACGAAGGGGGCUAGCGUUGUUCGGAAUUACUGGGCGUAAAGCGCGUGUAGGCGGGUCUUUAAGUCAGGGGUGAAAUGCCAAGGCUCAACCUUGGAACUGCCUUUGAUACUGGAGACCUUGAGUCCGGGAGAGGUGAGUGGAAUUGCGAGUGUAGAGGUGAAAUUCGUAGAUAUUCGCAAGAACACCAGUGGCGAAGGCGGCUCACUGGCCCGGAACUGACGCUGAGACGCGAAAGCGUGGGGAGCAAACAGGAUUAGAUACCCUAGUAGUCC